rnacentral:rRNA from 1 species
CUAAACUGAAAAAAGUAAGUCUCAGUUCGGAUUGAAGGCUGAAAUUCGCCUUCAUGAAGCCGGAAUUGCUAGUAAUGGCAGGUCAGCAUACUGCCGUGAAUACGUUCCCGGGCCUUGUACACACCGCCCGUCACACCAUGAGAGUUGGGAAUACCCGAAGCCUGUGAGCUAACUAUACGAGGCAGCAGUCGAAGGUAGAAUCAAUGAUUGGGGUGAAGUCGUAACAAGGUACC